AAUGUGCCCGAACACAAGGAUUACUUUGAUAGAGUAAACAACGGGGGUUAAAAUUCCCCCCAUUUCCU
rnacentral:tRNA from 1 species